AGCAGCCGCGGUAAUUCCAGCUCCAAUAGCGUAUAUUAAAGUUGCUGCAGUUAAAAAAGCUCGUAGUUGAAUUUCGGGACCAUCAUGUCGGUCGUGCCUCGGUACGUACUGGUAUUGUUGGUUUCUCCCUUCUGACGAACCAUGAUGUCAUUUAUUUGGUGUUGUGGGGAAUCAGGACUGUUACUUUGAAAAAAUUAGAGUGUUUAAAGCAGGCUCACGCUUGAAUACAUUAGCAUGGAAUAAUGAAAUAGGACGUUUGAUUCUAUUUUGUUGGUUUCUAGGAUCGACGUAAUGAUUAAUAGGGAUAGUUGGGGGCAUUAGUAUUCAAUUGUCAGAGGUGAAAUUCUUGGAUUUAUUGAAGACUAACUACUGCGAAAGCAUUUGCCAAGGAUGUUUUCAUUAAUCAAGAACGAAAGUUAGGGGGAUCGAAGACGAUCAGAUACCGUCGUAGUCUUAACCAUAAACUAAUGCCGACUAGGGAUCGGAUGAUGUUAAUUUUUAAUGACUCAUUCGGCGUCCG
rnacentral:rRNA from 1 species